rnacentral:rRNA from 1 species
GCCGCGGUACUUGACCGUGCGAAGGUAGCGCAAUCACUUGUCUUUUAAAUGAAGACCUGUAUGAAUGGCACGACGAGGGCUUAACUGUCUCCUUUUUCCAGUCAAUGAAAUUGAUCUUCCCGUGCAGAAGCGGGAAUAAUAUCAUAAGACGAGAAGACCCUGUGGAGCUUUAGACACUAAAUCAGCCCUUGUCCAAAAUCCCAGUUAAAGGAAUGAACACUAGAGUGAGACCUGAUCUAAUGUCUUCGGUUGGGGCGACCUUGGGGAAAGAAAAAUCCCCCAUGCGGAACGGAAAUACUAUACUUCCAAAACUAAGAGCAACCACUCAAAGUAUCAAAAAUUUUGACCAACUAUAUGAUCCGGCCUUAACGCCGAUCAACGGACCGAGUUACCCCAGGGAUAACAGCGCAAUCCUCUUUUAGAGCCCAUAUCGACAAGAGGGUUUACGACCUCGAUGUUGGAUCAGGACAUCCUAAUGGUGCAGCCGCUAUUAAGGGUUCGUUUGUUCAACGAUUAAAGU